AAUCAGUUAUGGUUCCUUAGAUCGUUCAUACUACAUGGAUAACUGUGGUAAUUCUAGAGCUAAUACAUGCAAAAAGCUCCGACCGUAUGGGAAGAGCGCUUUUAUUAGACCAAAACCAAUGGGGUCGCAAGACUCCUUUGUAUGGUGACUCUGGAUAACUUUGUGCUGAUCGCAUGGCCUAGAGCCGGCGACGUAUCUUUCAAGUGUCUGCCCUAUCAACUUUCGAUGGUAAGCGAUUUGCCUACCAUGGUUGUAACGGGUAACGGGGAAUCAGGGUUCGAUUCCGGAGAGGGAGCAUGAGAAAUGGCUACCACAUCUACGGAAGGCAGCAGGCGCGCAAAUUACCCACUCCUAGAACGGGGAGGUAGUGACGAAAAAUAACAAUACCGGACUCAAUGAGGCUCGGUAAUUGAAAUGAGUACAGUUUAAAACCCUUAACGAGGAUCUAUUGGAGGGCAAGUCUGGUGCCAGCAGCCGCGGUAAUUCCAGCUCCAAUAGCGUAUAUUAAAGUUGUUGCAGUUAAAAAGCUCGUAGUUGGAUCUCGGGUACUAGCAUGUGGUACGCUUAAUUGCUGUUACUACAUGUCUGGUCCUAAUCAACCGGUUGGCCGUUGAUGUCCUUUAUUGGGUGUUUUCGGUAGCCGGUACGUUUACUUUGAGAAAAUUAGAGUGCUUAAAGCAGGCCUUACGCCUGAAUAAUGUUGCAUGGAAUAAUAGAAUAGGACCUCGGUUCUAUUUUGUUGGUUUUGUAGAGCAUUGAGGUAAUGAUUAAUAGGGACAGACGGGGGC
rnacentral:rRNA from 1 species